GGGUCAGUAGGUUGGUCGUGCCACCGGUACGUACUGGUCUCACUGAUUCCUCCUUCCUGAAUAACCGUAAUGCCAUUAAUUUGGUGUUGCGGGGAAACAGGACUGUUACUUUGAAAAAAUUAGAGUGCUUAAAGCAAGCUAACGCUUGAAUACAUUAGCAUGGAAUAAUGAAAUAGGACGAUCGAUCCUAUUUUGUUGGUUUCUAGGAUUGACGUA
rnacentral:rRNA from 1 species